ACAACGGAACGCCGCAAGUGCUCAACAUGCCACUCUUAAAGAGCACCAGCAUUAUUAGUAAAUACACUGUAUUUUAUUACAGAAUUUUCCGUUACCCUUAUUAGGUGGUUGUUACUAGAAGUACUGCAUCCCUAGUGAAGCAGCUUCCAAGCAAACAAAAAAACACCCCAAGAACACUGUGCCAGGGUUUUUUUAAAGAAAAUUGUAAAUUUUCUUAUAUGAAACCUCUAGGGUUUCCACAAAACAAUGAAAAUCUCAUUAUGCAAGUCUUACUGAACUUCUAGGAGAUACCUCAUGUGAUUACUGAUGACAGGAAGAAUUCACCUUUUCUAAAAGAGUUGAACCAAGUCCUGAAUACCUGCAGUAAUUUACAGUAUGUAAGAGCUGGCAGUAUCAAACAGUGAUGGAGCACCAUGACAGCAACAGCAGCUCAACAUUUUACUAUAGUGAGUUUCCCAAGAGAAGAGA